CAGGGAUUGCCCUAGUAACGGCGAGUGAAGCGGCAACAGCUCAAAUUUGAAAUCUGGCCCUCGUGGUCCGAGUUGUAAUUUGUAGAGGAUGCUUUUGGUGCGGUGCCUUCCGAGUUCCCUGGAACGGGACGCCAGAGAGGGUGAGAGCCCCGUACGGUUGGACACCUACCCUAUAUAUAGCUCCUUCGACGAGUCGAGUAGUUUGGGAAUGCUGCUCUAAAUGGGAGGUAAAUUUCUUCUAAAGCUAAAUACCGGCCAGAGACCGAUAGCGCACAAGUAGAGUGAUCGAAAGAUGAAAAGCACUUUGAAAAGAGGGUUAAAUAGCACGUGAAAUUGUUGAAAGGGAAGCGUUUGCGACCAGACUUUUUCCAGGGGGAUCAUCCGGUGUUCUCACCGGUGCACUCCGCCUGGUUUAGGCCAGCAUCGGUUCUCUUAGGGGGAUAAAGGCUUGGGGAACGUAGCUCCUUCGGGAGUGUUAUAGCCCCUUGCGUAAUACCCUUCGGGGGACCGAGGAUCGCGCUCUGCAAGGAUGCUGGCGUAAUGGUCGUCAACGACCCGUCUUGAAACACGGACCAAGGAGUCGAACAUUUGUGCGAGUGUUUGGGUGUUAAACCCUCACGCGUAAUGAAAGUGAACGGAGGUGAGAGCCCUUACGGGUGCAUCAUCGACCGAUCCUGAUGUCUUCGGAUGGAUUUGAGUAAGAGCAUAACUGUUCGGACCCGAAAGAUGGUGAACUAUGCGUGGAUAGGGUGAAGCCAGAGGAAACUCUGGUGGAGGCUCGCAGCGGUUCUGACGUGCAAAUCGAUCGUCAAAUCUGCGCAUGGGGGCGAAAGACUA
rnacentral:rRNA from 1 species